rnacentral:rRNA from 1 species
AGUGGCGGACGGGUGAGUAAUGCUUGGGAAUUUGCCUAGUAGUGGGGGACAACACGGGGAAACUCGUGCUAAUACCGCAUACGCCCUACGGGGGAAAGCGGGGGAUCUUCGGACCUCGCGCUAUUAGAUGAGCCCAAGUCGGAUUAGCUUGUUGGUGAGGUAAAGGCUCACCAAGGCAACGAUCCGUAGCUGGUCUGAGAGGACGAUCAGCCACACUGGGACUGAGACACGGCCCAGACUCCUACGGGAGGCAGCAGUGGGGAAUAUUGCACAAUGGGGGAAACCCUGAUGCAGCAAUGCCGCGUGUGUGAAGAAGGCCUGCGGGUUGUAAAGCACUUUCAGUAGAGAAGAAAAGCUUACGGUUAAUACCUGUGAGUCUUGACAUUAACUACAGAAGAAGCACCGGCUAACUCCGUGCCAGCAGCCGCGGUAAUACGGAGGGUGCGAGCGUUAAUCGGAAUUACUGGGCGUAAAGCGCGCGUAGGCGGCUUGAUAAGUCGGAUGUGAAAGCCCCGGGCUUAACCUGGGAACUGCAUUCGAUACUGUCUGGCUAGAGUAUGGUAGAGGGAAGUGGAAUUCCGGGUGUAGCGGUGAAAUGCGUAGAUAUCCGGAGGACACCAGUGGCGAAGGCGACUUCUGACAUACUGACGCUGAGGUGCGAAGCGUGGGGAGCAAACAGAUAGAAUACCCUGGUAGU